CGCCUGUGCUGAGGGUGGUGGGGCUGCUACAGAUCACCAGGGAAGCCGGGGACUGAGAAGAAUCAGGGUCUCAAAGCCAGAGGCUUGUCCCUUGUGAAGGCACACUAGGACUGGCUGCAGGGAGUCCUCUCAGGAGAGGGAGACUGGAUAAAGCUGCUUCUUGGGGGAGUCCCAAGGAAGAGCUUUCCCCUUCCUCU